rnacentral:rRNA from 1 species
CCCUUAGAUGUUCUGGGCUGCACGCGCGCUACACUGAUGCACUCAACGAGUUUACGACCUUGCCCGAUAGGGUUGGGUAAUCUUUUUAAAAUGCAUCGUGAUGGGGAUAGAUUAUUGCAAUUAUUAAUCUUCAACGAGGAAUUCCUAGUAAGCGCGAGUCAUCAGCUCGUGCUGAUUACGUCCCUGCCCUUUGUACACACCGCCCGUCGCUCCUACCGAUUGAGUGCUCAGGUGAAUAAUUCGAACUGCAGCAAUGUUUGGAUCCCGAACGUUGCAGCGGAAAGUUUAGUGAACCUUAUCACUUAGAGGAAGGAGAAGUCGUAACA